rnacentral:rRNA from 1 species
GGGUUGUGAGGUUAAGCGACUAAGCGUACACGGUGGAUGCCCUGGCAGUCAGAGGCGAUGAAGGACGUGCUAAUCUGCGAAAAGCGUCGGUAAGGUGAUAUGAACCGUUAUAACCGGCGAUGUCCGAAUGGGGAAACCCAGUGUGUUCCGACACACUAUCAUUAACUGAAUCCAUAGGUUAAUGAGGCGAACCGGGGGAACUGAAACAUCUAAGUACCCCGAGGAAAAGAAAUCAACCGAGAUUCCCCCAGUAGCGGCGAGCGAACGGGGAGGAGCCCAGAGCCUGAAUCAGUGUGUGUGUUAGUGGAAGCGUCUGGAAAGGCGCGCGAUACAGGGUGACAGCCCCGUACACAAAAAUGCACAUGCUGUGAGCUCGAUGAGUAGGGCGGGACACGUGGUAUCCUGUCUGAAUAUGGGGGGACCAUCCUCCAAGGCUAAAUACUCCUGACUGACCGAUAGUGAACCAGUACCGUGAGGGAAAGGCGAAAAGAACCCCGGCGAGGGGAGUGAAAAAGAACCUGAAACCGUGUACGUACAAGCAGUGGGAGCCCUGAUUUAUCAGGGUGACUGCGUACCUUUUGUAUAAUGGGUCAGCGACUUAUAUUCUGUAGCAAGGUUAACCGAAUAGGGGAGCCGGAGGGAAACCGAGUCUUAACUGGGCGUUAAGUUGCAGGGUAUAGACCCGAAACCCGGUGAUCUAGCCAUGGGCAGGUUGAAGGUUGGGUAACACUAACUGGAGGACCGAACCGACUAAUGUUGAAAAAUUAGCGGAUGACUUGUGGCUGGGGGUGAAAGGCCAAUCAAACCGGGAGAUAGCUGGUUCUCCCCGAAAGCUAUUUAGGUAGCGCCUCGUGAAUUCAUCUCCGGGGGUAGAGCACUGUUUCGGCAAGGGGGUCAUCCCGACUUACCAACCCGAUGCAAACUACGAAUACCGGAGAAUGUUAUCACGGGAGACACACGGCGGGUGCUAACGUCCGUCGUGAAGAGGGAAACAACCCAGACCGCCAGCUAAGGUCCCAAAGUCAUGGUUAAGUGGGAAACGAUGUGGGAAGGCCCAGACAGCCAGGAUGUUGGCUUAGAAGCAGCCAUCAUUUAAAGAAAGCGUAAUAGCUCACUGGUCGAGUCGGCCUGCGCGGAAGAUGUAACGGGGCUAAACCAUGCACCGAAGCUGCGGCAGCGACGCUGAUGCGUUGUUGGGUAGGGGAGCGUUCUGUAAGCCUGUGAAGGUGUGCUGUGAGGCAUGCUGGAGGUAUCAGAAGUGCGAAUGCUGACAUAAGUAACGAUAAAGCGGGUGAAAAGCCCGCUCGCCGGAAGACCAAGGGUUCCUGUCCAACGUUAAUCGGGGCAGGGUGAGUCGACCCCUAAGGCGAGGCCGAAAGGCGUAGUCGAUGGGAAACAGGUUAAUAUUCCUGUACUUGGUGUUACUGCGAAGGGGGGACGGAGAAGGCUAUGUUGGCCGGGCGACGGUUGUCCCGGUUUAAGCGUGUAGGCUGGUUUUCCAGGCAAAUCCGGAGAAUCAAGGCUGAGGCGUGAUGACGAGGCACUACGGUGCUGAAGCAACAAAUGCCCUGCUUCCAGGAAAAGCCUCUAAGCAUCAGGUAACAUCAAAUCGUACCCCAAACCGACACAGGUGGUCAGGUAGAGAAUACCAAGGCGCUUGAGAGAACUCGGGUGAAGGAACUAGGCAAAAUGGUGCCGUAACUUCGGGAGAAGGCACGCUGAUGGUAGGUGAAGCGACUUGCUCGUGGAGCUGAAAUCAGUCGAAGAUACCAGCUGGCUGCAACUGUUUAUUAAAAACACAGCACUGUGCAAACACGAAAGUGGACGUAUACGGUGUGACGCCUGCCCGGUGCCGGAAGGUUAAUUGAUGGGGUCAGCGCAAGCGAAGCUCUUGAUCGAAGCCCCGGUAAACGGCGGCCGUAACUAUAACGGUCCUAAGGUAGCGAAAUUCCUUGUCGGGUAAGUUCCGACCUGCACGAAUGGCGUAAUGAUGGCCAGGCUGUCUCCACCCGAGACUCAGUGAAAUUGAACUCGCUGUGAAGAUGCAGUGUACCCGCGGCAAGACGGAAAGACCCCGUGAACCUUUACUAUAGCUUGACACUGAACACUGGUCCUUGAUGUGUAGGAUAGGUGGGAGGCUUUGAAGUGUGGACGCCAGUCUGCAUGGAGCCGUCCUUGAAAUACCACCCUUUAAUGGCUGGUGUUCUAACGUAGGCCCCUUACCGGGGUUGCGGACAGUGUCUGGUGGGUAGUUUGACUGGGGCGGUCUCCUCCUAAAGAGUAACGGAGGAGCACGAAGGUUGGCUAAUCCUGGUCGGACAUCAGGAGGUUAGUGCAAUGGCAUAAGCCAGCUUGACUGCGAGCGUGACGGCGCGAGCAGGUGCGAAAGCAGGUCAUAGUGAUCCGGUGGUUCUGAAUGGAAGGGCCAUCGCUCAACGGAUAAAAGGUACUCCGGGGAUAACAGGCUGAUACCGCCCAAGAGUUCAUAUCGACGGCGGUGUUUGGCACCUCGAUGUCGGCUCAUCACAUCCUGGGGCUGAAGUAGGUCCCAAGGGUAUGGCUGUUCGCCAUUUAAAGUGGUACGCGAGCUGGGUUUAGAACGUCGUGAGACAGUUCGGUCCCUAUCUGCCGUGGGCGCUGGAGAACUGAGGGGGGCUGCUCCUAGUACGAGAGGACCGGAGUGGACGCAUCACUGGUGUUCGGGUUGUCAUGCCAAUGGCACUGCCCGGUAGCUAAAUGCGGAAGAGAUAAGUGCUGAAAGCAUCUAAGCACGAAACUUGCCCCGAGAUGAGUUCUCCCUGAGACUUAGAGUCUCCUGAAGGAACGUUGAAGACGACGACGUUGAUAGGCCGGGUGUGUAAGCGCAGCGAUGCGUUGAGCUAACCGGUACUAAUGAACCGUGAGGCUUAACCUUACAACGCCGAAGGUGUUU